AUAAUAUUAUAUUAUAUUAUUCUCUACUAGAUAAUACUAUGUAAUAUCUUUUAUUGUUAUUUUAUUGUACCAAAAUUAUUUUUUUUAUUUUAGUUACCAAACAUAUGUUAAAAAAGUACUUUAUAAAUGUAGCUACCAAACAGCAAAUAGUUUUUUGUAAAAAUUUUACUUUCAAAAGCUUUAGUUCUCAAAAGCUCUACUUUCAAAAACUUCUAAAGCUCUACUGUCUACAACAAUCCAAAAUAGGGCCUUAAUCUCAUCAACUAGAACUGCAUUAUCUGAAUGCACACACACACAUAC
rnacentral:lncRNA from 1 species